AUAUCACAAGAUGGCGUGACCCUAUCUAUUCUAACAUUUCAAAUAUAAUAUACGUGGAAUGUUAUUCAACUUAUUUACAAUUAUGUGUAGGUAACUUGACAGGGUUAUGACGGAUGACACCUACACCUUUUAUGUUAGGUGUAUUUGACUGCGUUUAAUAAAUACUUCUGUUGAGGAUGGAUCCUGAAAGGAAGAGAAGGACGGAGUGCCUGGAGAAGAUGCUCACGGACACGAGGAGCAACAUCCACAUAGAUGGAGUCAUGGAUGGACUCCAGGCACUCGUCGACGAUCUCAACUUCCCCGGUCUACGGCGCAACAAGAACGUGGAGGCGUUCCUAGAACGAUGUAAG